rnacentral:rRNA from 1 species
UGAAACCGCUUCGGUGGUGGAUUAGUGGCGAACGGGUGAGUAACCCGUGGGCAAUCUGCCCUUCACUCUGGGACAAGCCCUGGAAACGGGGUCUAAUACCGGAUAAUACUCCUGCCUGCAUGGGAGGGGGUUGAAAGCUCCGGCGGUGAAGGAUGAGCCCGCGGCCUAUCAGCUUGUUGGUGGGGUAAUGGCCUACCAAGGCGACGACGGGUAGCCGGCCUGAGAGGGCGACCGGCCACACUGGGACUGAGACACGGCCCAGACUCCUACGGGAGGCAGCAGUGGGGAAUAUUGCACAAUGGGCGAAAGCCUGAUGCAGCGACGCCGCGUGAGGGAUGACGGCCUUCGGGUUGUAAACCUCUUUCAUCAGGGAAGAAGCGCAAGUGACGGUACCUGCAGAAGAAGCGCCGGCUAACUACGUGCCAGCAGCCGCGGUAAUACGUAGGGCGCAAGCGUUGUCCGGAAUUAUUGGGCGUAAAGA